rnacentral:rRNA from 1 species
GAAAGGGCGGUGCCGCAGCCUUACCAUGCAGUCGAACGGCAGCGCGGGAGCAAUCCUGGCGGCGAGUGGCGAACGGGUGAGUAAUACAUCGGAACGUGCCCAAUCGUGGGGGAUAACGCAGCGAAAGCUGUGCUAAUACCGCAUACGAUCUACGGAUGAAAGCAGGGGAUCGCAAGACCUUGCGCGAAUGGAGCGGCCGAUGGCAGAUUAGGUAGUUGGUGAGGUAAAGGCUCACCAAGCCUUCGAUCUGUAGCUGGUCUGAGAGGACGACCAGCCACACUGGGACUGAGACACGGCCCAGACUCCUACGGGAGGCAGCAGUGGGGAAUUUUGGACAAUGGGCGAAAGCCUGAUCCAGCCAUGCCGCGUGCAGGAUGAAGGCCUUCGGGUUGUAAACUGCUUUUGUACGGAACGAAACGGUCUCUUCUAAUAAAGGGGGCUAAUGACGGUACCGUAAGAAUAAGCACCGGCUAACUACGUGCCAGCAGCCGCGGUAAUACGUAGGGUGCAAGCGUUAAUCGGAAUUACUGGGCGUAAAGCGUGCGCAGGCGGUUAUAUAAGACAGUUGUGAAAUCCCCGGGCUCAACCUGGGAACUGCAUCUGUGACUGUAUAGCUAGAGUACGGUAGAGGGGGAUGGAAUUCCGCGUGUAGCAGUGAAAUGCGUAGAUAUGCGGAGGAACACCGAUGGCGAAGGGAAAUCCCCUGGACCUGUACUGCCGCUCAUGCCCGAAAGCGGGGGGAGCAAACAGGAUUAGAUACACUGGUAGCCACGCCCUAUACCACGUCAACUGGUUGUUGGGGUCUUCACUGACUCAGUAAUCACCCACUCGUGAAG